rnacentral:rRNA from 1 species
UUUGCUAGUUUUCUAGCGAAUGGUUCAUUCUUUUUUACUGUGAACUGUUUUAAUUUUUCAGCGUCUGAGGAAUGUCUUUUAGCCAUAGGGAUAGGCUACUAGAAUGUUAACCGAGCUGAAAGUCAGGCUUAGGCCUGGUAUCCUAUUAAUUAUUUACCAAAAGAAUUCAGUAUUAUAAUUGUAACAUAAGCGUAAAAAACUUAUAAAACAACUUUUAACAACGGAUCUCUUGGUUCUCGCAUCGAUGAAGAACGUAGCAAAGUGCGAUAACUAGUGUGAAUUGCAUAUUCAGUGAAUCAUCGAGUCUUUGAACGCAACUUGCGCUCAAUGGUAUUCCAUUGAGCACGCCUGUUUCAGUAUCAAAAACACCCCACAUUCAUAAUUUUGUUGUGAAUGGAAAUGAGAGUUUCGGCUUUAUUGCUGAAUUCUUUAAAAUUAUUAGGCCUGAACUAUUGUUCUUUCUGCCUGAACAUUUUUUUAAUAUAAAGGAAUGCUCUAGUAAAAAGACUAUCUCUGGGGCCUCCCAAAUAAAUCAUUCUUAAAUUUGAUCUGAAAUCAGGCGGGAUUAC